rnacentral:lncRNA from 1 species
CGCUGAUGACAACGCUUGACGGGAGAAAUCUGCGGGUCUCCAUUGAUUCGAUCAUCGGUCCCACCCACGAAGAAGUGGUUAAAGGGGAAGGAAUGCCUAUCCAGAAGGAACAAGGCAAAAAGGGUAACUUGAUUCUCAAGUUUAACAUCAGGAUCCCCAAGCUUACCUCAGAGCAGAAAACUAGCAUCAAACAAUUGUUAACAUCUUUGUAAAUGUUGAUUGUACCAUCGAAGUUUUUCUUCUGCUUUUCAUUUUCUCUGCACCCAAACAAUAACUUUCUAGGUUUCCCUUCGCCAUCUACCAAGCUUUCCUGAUUGUACUGUGUAGGUUUGUGUGUGUGUUGUGUUAGCUGUAUACAAGUAGAUUGCUCUCUCCACCACAUUAUUGUGAUGAACGGGAGCAAUUAUUAUUGUAAUAUAUCGUGUAAUCUAUGCUCUGUAAUUAACUCUAUUUAGGAGCACUUCCUGUUACAGUGGCCUUGUUGAUUGUGAUUCCUCAAAUGGUAAAAGGAAACUCAGUUAACAUAAAAGUAAGAAGCUCUAGCUAAUUAAGAAACGGUCCCAGAUAUCAAAUCAAAAACUGGACUUGAUCUGUGAAAUAGUAAACGCCGAAUCAAAGGCAAAAUAGGCAGCGUAGGAUUCAAUAUUCUUCAUGUUUCUGGCUUGAAGUUUACGUUAAGGUCUUGUAUUAGUAAGGAAGUGGAAAUGGAGCUUGAUUUUGUAUAAUGAAUCAAAAGAUCAUAAAAUGCGUCAAAGUGACUAGUUCCAAGUGUUUAGGCCUUGAUUGAGCACGGAGUUUAGGAGAGUUUAUACACACAAAGAGAUGGAAACAGAGGAGAGAAACAGAGCAUCAAACAAUUGUUAACAUUUUCGUAAAUGCUGGUAUGGUGGUAGCUUUCCCUACCAUAUCACCAAACCUUUCUCUCCGCUUUUCAUUUUCUCUGCGCUCAAUCACUAACUUUCUAGUUUUCCCUUCACCUCUGCCAAGCUUGUGUAAGCUUUCCUGUGUGUUCUUGUAUUAGUUGUCUAGGCUGCCAAGUUUUUCUCAGUAUGAUGCAGUAGCACCAAAAAAAAAAAGCAGCUCAUCUUAUUACUAGACGGUCACAGAUAUCAAAUUAAAAAUUGGACUCAAUGUUUGAAGUAGUAAACGCUGAACUCAAACAAAAGAUCAUAAAAUGAGUCUACGGAUUUGCAAGUGUUCCGACAUUGAGCUUAAACCAAAAUUCAAGCUUGAAUUUAUAUGUAGAUGUUUCUUGUCGAGCAAUGAUAGCCUUGCUGUAAGAUGGUUUACCUGAUGAACUAAUCAGCCUUGCCUACAGUUGGCACAUGAGUCAUUUUUCUCCCAUCACCAGUUUUGUAUAAGUUUACAUUCUCUAAUUUAAUCUCUAUUAUAUUCUUGUACAAGUUUGCAUUUUCAUGUUAUAUGCAUAUUUCUUGGUUCUUUGAUUUGGACCCGAAAUUUUUCGCUCCAACAUCUCUUAUUGGCAUGGGCCUAGGCGGCCCAUUUAUUCAAGAAAGAUGGUGAUUAUACUUUUAACUCCUCCAUAUUAUUUUUGUACUUUGAAAAUAAGGGGGUUAUGAGCCCAAACGAACAAAAUGAGAGUGUCAAAAUUAUUACCCUUAUGAGAAAAAAAUUCAAUAUUGAGACUUUUUUUCAUGUGGAUGAUCAUGAGCACUUUGUAAGUAGUUGAUUAGUUAUUUGUGGGGGUUUAGAUUCAGAAGAGUUAAUAAAAACUUGUGUUGUAAACUUUAUUUUCUGAUCACCAAAGGGAACCAAAAGGACGUAAAGAUAGAUAGCUUUGUACCCUCCUAUCUAAAAUACCGACUAAGCCCUUAUAGAAAUAUUGACCACACAAACAAACCCCUCAUAGAAGUAUUGACUCAAAAGUCUUCAACUUUUCACAAAAGCUAACCCACAAUGCUGCUACAGUCUCUUGAGCUAAUUUCCUCGUAAGACAAGUGUGCCUUGUCUAGGAAGUCUUGCAAAAUUACCCUUUGAACCUUUGGUGGUCCUGCAUAUUCCAUCUAUGAUUGUGAUCGAGCUCUGUUGCUUUUGUGCCAUCAAUAAUUGAGCUCACACUAUAAAUCAGGUGCUACUUGAAGAAAGGUUUUGCCAGAGCUUAGAGUUUAGGAGAGCUUUAGAAGCACACAGAGAGAUAGAAACAGAGGAGAAAAACAGAGAGAGAGAGAGAGAGAGAGAGAGAGAGAGAGAGAGAGAGAGAGAGAGUGAGGCAUGGAGGGAUCAGGGGUUUUCGGAUCACGCAGCCAUGAAGAUCUAUUCUCGUCGGCUUUCGAAUGGAAUUGCAACGCAGGGGCGUCACGGGCUGGCGGGUCUCGGAGACCGGACAAUGACAGCGUGUUCAGCUUCGGCGACAAGACUUUUGUGCAGAGGGGAGGAGAUAGGCCUAGGAAAGCUGUGGCCAUAGAGAAGACAUUGCCCUGCACUCUGGAGGACUUGUACAAUGGCACCACCAAAAAGAUGAAGAUUUCUAGGGAUGUUGUUGGUGCUAGUGGGUAAGCCCUUUUCUUUUUCUUAUGAAUAUUUUUGUUUAAUUUAGGCAUCUGGGGUGUUGAAAAUGUCUUUUGGCCUCAGGGGAGCAUAAUUUAAUACCAAACAUGGCCUUAGCUUGAUGAUCUUAUCAUUAGAAAUGCUAUAUGCUUUAUCUUCCAGCUGGGCUGGUGUGGAAAUUAAAAGUGACUAGAAAAUUAUAAAAGUGAUUUUACGCAACUUUCUUUUUGUUUUUGUUUGAUACUGCAGAAGAAAAAGCACAGUGGAGGAAGUUCUAACAAUUGUGAUCAAGCCCGGUUGGAAACAGGGCACCAAAAUCACUUACCCAGAGAAAGGUCAUGAUGUGGAGCAAGGUGUUAUACCAGCCGACAUCAUAUUUACCAUUGAAGAGAAGCCUCAUGAUUUUUUCAAGAGGCGUGGGGACGAUCUCACCGUCACUCUGAACAUAUCCCUUGCGGAAGCUCUGACGGGUCACACGGCGCAGCUGGCAACCCUUGAUGGGAGAAAUCUGAGGGUCUCUAUCGAUUCAGUUAUCAGUAUCACCCAUGAAGAAGUGGUUAAAGGGGAAGGGAUGCCUAUCCAGAAGGGACGAGGCAGAAAGGGUAACUUGAUUCUCAAGUUUAACAUCAAGAUCCCCAAGCUUACCUCAGAGCAGAAAGCUGGCAUCAGACAGCUAUUAACAUCUUCAUAAACGCUUGGUGGUAGUUCUCCCUUUUCUGUCUGCUUUUCUUUUUCUCAGUCAUUUUCUCUGCAGCCAAACACUAGCUUUCUAGGAUUCCCUUCAUCAUGCACCAAGCUAGUGUUUGGCUGUAUUGUGUUGUGUUGUUGUGUUAUUUAUGUACUAGUAGAUUGCUCUCCACCAAUUAAAUUGUGAUGAAUGGGAGCAAUUAUUAUUGUAAAAUAUCCUAUUUAUGUAUGCUUUGUUGUGAUUAAUCUAUUUAGAAGUAGUCACUGUUACAGUGGCCUUGUUGAUUGUGAUUCCUCCAAUGGUAAAAUCAAACUCAGUUACCAGUUAAAAAAAGAACUAAAUUAAAUUAAAUUGAUAUGUUUGUAUAUGUGGGCAUCAGAUUCAGCUGCAAAGGUUUUCUGCGUGUAUGCAGCUAAUUCUGUAAUCCCAUUCCAAGGAGGGAUAGUUCUUAUUGUGUUCUCUGUGGCCCUGUUUCCACCCUGGUUUCGUUUAUGGUGUUUACUUUCCCUUUGUUUUUCGUUGCCUCUGUUUCUGAGGUUUCUAUGAAAUUCACUUGACCCAAAAAAAAGGGUCUCAAAUAGUCAAAUUAAAAAUUGGACUUGAUCUUUCACACAGUCAACGCUCAACCAAAGGCAAAAUAGCUUUCAAUAUUUGAAGUACAGCUUAAGGACUUGUAUUAGUGACAAAGUGGCCCUUCAAUUUGUAUAAAGUGAGCCUAAAUUGCAAGUGCGCCAACUUUGAGCUUAAACCAAAAAUGAAGUUCUAAUUUUGACUUGAAGCGUUAAGAUUGAUUAGUAUUCAACACGAUCAUAAAAUUUUACAAUGUGACUUAGUUACAAAAUCACGAGAUUAAUUUUCAAUUUAAACGUAAUGAAUUCGAUCAUGUUUUUAUUUUUUAUUUUUUUAUAAGGUAAGAUUGUCUCAUGUUGAUAAGAAAGUGGACAUAGAUCUUCAAUUUGUAUAAAAAUUACAAAAUGAGUCUAAAUGACUUGUGAGUGUUCCAACAUUGACCUUAAACCAAACAAAAAGAAAAAAAAAACAGAGGAAUAUGGGGCAAAUAUGAAAAUAACAAUAAGUUAGAGGCAUCUAAUUGAAAUUGAUAUAAUAUUUUCGUGCGAAUGGCAAUUUCUAUAUAUAUAAGACCCGUCGGUAAAUUAGAAUAGAAGUAAUAUUUUAGAUUCUCUCUCACCGUUGUUGGGGGACUGGAGGAGUGGCUUUAUCAAGUAUCCACGACCUAAACACCCUCUCUUCUCUCCUCUCUUGUUUGUUUUUCUUCUUCUCUCUCUCUCUCUUUCUCUUCUCCCACGUUUACAUGCAUCUUCUUCUUUCGAUCUGUCUUCAUGCUCUGUCCCUUCGCUUUCUGUAAUUCGAACUCGCUCCGCAAACUCAAUCCCUAACACUAAAUUCCCGAUUCCCUCCGAAACGCGUCGUUUUAGAUCCCAUGGAAAUGGCCUCGAGUCCGCGAAACGUGGAGGAGAUCUUCAAAGAUUACAGUGCUCGGAGAACUGCUGUUGUCCGUGCUUUAACUUACGGUACUUGAAUUUCUCUCUCUUUCUCUCCCCUUUUCGGUUCUGAGAAUCUCUGACUUUUUUUUUGGUGUAAUUGUUUUCUCACAGAUGUCGAUGAAUUCUACGGACUCUGCGAUCCAGGUAAUGCCAAAUUGUAGAUCAGACUUACUUUUCUUCUUUGCUUGCUUUCUAAAUUUUUUAAUUGAUUUAUUUUGUUAAUUUUAUGUAUAUGUCUUCUCUUCCCCAAACACUGAGAAUAUGCGAAAAUAGGAAAAUAAAUAGGUAUACAUCGUCCGUUGUUUGAUUCUGCUAAAUCUUAAUUUUACUUCAAAUGAAUUGCUUGCUACAAUUGAAAGUUUGAAACUGCGUUGGACCUUAACUGUAGUAAAUAAUUUCAUUGUAGUGGAAGUUCAAAACAAUUUCCCUACUUCUUUGAAGGCACAACUUAUGUUUUUUGUUUUUAACUCCCAUUGGUAUAGAUAAGGAGAAUUUAUGUCUGUAUGGGCAUCCAAAUGAAACCUGGGAAGUGACACUUCCGGCGGAAGAAGUCCCACCCGAGCUUCCUGAGCCAGCACUUGGGAUCAAUUUUGCAAGAGAUGGUAUGAACCGCAAGGACUGGCUUUCUCUGGUUGCUGUUCACAGUGAUUCUUGGCUGCUUUCUGUGGCUUUCUAUUUUGGAGCACGCCUUAACCGCAAUGAGAGGUACACAAUGUUUUAUUGUUGUUGCUGCAUGUGUGAUGUAGAUAGCGUGGUAGUAUCCCUAGUUCUCUGUUGUGGAUUUAAGAUGUCUGAUACUCAACUGAAAUUGAACGAAUUCAGAUUAGGUUGAAGAUACGGAGAGAACUAAGAGAGAAAUUGGGAACGAGGAAAUUCUCUGUUUCUAUUCAUUGCUAAUAUUAGCCUUUGUUCAGAUGCUUUUAUACAAUCAGUCUGAUUACAUAAGAGUAACAAACUAGCAUACGAUUUAUCAGUAGACACUGUAGGAGACACGUGAUCAGCAAGAGUAUUCUGUCAGGAUUUGGGUUUUGUGUUUCAUAUAAUGCCUGAUGCAGAAUACCAACAUGAGUGGAGAAUUUGGUUUAAGUGCUAGCCAUCUCCCUUGAUGAUAGUAAAAGAUUGAAAUCAUAGAUUGUGUGAUAGGAAUCCAUUAGUUUACAUGUCAAUUCUUCAUUGUCCUGCUUACUAUUAUCAAACUAGAAAUGAACCUAAAAAUGCCCAUUACAGUCUUUGAAGAAUUUUGAGCACUUGGUCCCUUUUUCUGCAAUUUGCACCAAGACACCAUUGUUUGACAUAGGGGAACUGCAUUGUAGUAUAUCUUUGCUUGAGAUUCAGUGGUUUUAUUCAUCAGGACUUGUUCUGUAUAAUGACAGGAAACGCCUCUUUAGUUUGAUCAAUGAUCUGCCUACUGUCUUUGAAGUUGUGACGGAAAGGAAACCCGUUAAAGAAAAGCCCAGUGUGGAUAGUGGAAGCAAAUCUCGAGGCAGCACAAAGGUCAGAUGGAUCAAUUUCUUGUUCUGUUUUUUUCCCUUUAGAUUUCAUGUUCCCCUAAGGUUCUCAGUUGGUUCAGAAACUUUGCGCUUUGUUUCCCGUCUUGUUUGGAGAUAUAUAUUGAAACAAACUGCAGAUGUUGGAAUACAAACUUUUUCUGUGUCCACUAACUGGUUCCUCUUUUCUGUAGAGAUCCAGCGAUGGAAUUGUGAAAAGCAAUCCUAAGCUUCCAGACGAGAGUUUCGAGGAGGAGGAUGAUGAACAUAGUGAAACUCUCUGUGGGAGCUGCGGCGGGAAUUACAACGCAGAUGAAUUUUGGAUCGGCUGUGACAUCUGUGAGAGAUGGUUCCAUGGAAAAUGCGUGAAGAUAACACCUGCUAAGGCUGAGAACAUCAAGCAAUACAAAUGCCCAUCUUGCAGCUUGAAAAGGGGCAGGCAGUAGUGAUCACUCAACCUCAAACCUUCCGGGGUAGCAAAGGCAGAUAGCGCGUCGUCUCAGUGGCUGACAAAAGUAGUAUAGGAAUGUCACUAUUUAAUGUAAUGCAUUUGUUGUUGUGAUGUUUGUUCAUAAUAGAUGCUUUUUCAAAGGGGUUGAAGCCUGCCUUCGCCCCCGUUGAACGUUGCUUCGGCUUUUAUAUUAUCUUCCAGUUAUUAAUUUACGGCAAAUGUAUGAAGAAUAUUUGCUUCUUGUUAGUGUUAUUGUUAUGUUUCGUGUCAAGUAUACUAUAAAUUGAAAAAUUAUAAUUAUCUUGAUAAACAAAGUGGUAUGUUUAAUACUGAAUUGAUUUUCGCUUUCAAGUCUAGAGAAGUCUACUCCAGGGUUGGCAAAUCCGAAAAAAUCUUUUCAGUUUCUCAUGCGUAUGUGGGAAUUUUGGUGCAUCAUCCACGAUACAUUUUUUUUUUUUUUUUUUGGUAUCGGUCUGACCGUUACAUAAUUUAUUAAUUCACUUGUGUUUGUAUACCAUAGUUUCAUAAAAUAUGAAUUACGUUGUCGAACUGAGUGUUGUUUUACUAGGUUUACAUCCAUUACUCAUACUUGGGAACCCAAAAAAAAACAGACAAAAUGGAUUCAUUGCUCAUGCAUGGGCCCUUCCCCGGCCCUCCCAGAUCUGAUUUCUCAGUUGGUGGGUUGACUUUGUUGGGAUGUCGACAUGUUUAUUCUUAAUUUUAUCUUCAUCGAUACAAUUCAUUUGCACAACUUCAUCUUAUGUGUAUAAAACCAUUUCGUGCUACAUUGAUUUUGUAGUUUUUUUUUAAUAAAAAAAAAGAGUAAAAGAAUUACAAUGUGACAACAGGGCAGAUACAAUUUCGGGCAAGUUGCCCUUCUAUUUUCCUGGUGAAUAUUUUGAGUUUUGACCAAGAGACGUUUACUUCCGGACACAACACUGCAAACAAGAAACCAAGUUGAAUUAUUUGACUAAUUAAGAAAGGUUUGAGGAAAAAAAGGGAAAACUAAGUUUGAAAUGAUUUGGAGUCUGCUCAUUCUUAGUUUAAUCCGACAUUUAGAGACAGCCUAAGGCAUAUAUUACAUCCAAACGUAGCACAUCACUUAGUUCACAUCGAUGAUCAACUAAGGUUUGUUUUUGUCCACAUUUGUUUUAUGUGCUGCUCCCUCUGUCUAUAAUCUUCCUCCAUCUCUUUGAGCAAUGCUUGGGGCUGCUCUGAUACCGGUCGAAUUUGAAAUGGCUCCGAGUCAAUCAGAUGGCUCUGCGGGUAGGGAGCGCCUGCGCUGGACGCAAGAGCUACACGAUAGGUUCGUAGAGGCAGUCACUAAGCUUGGUGGCCCUGAUAGUAAGUCACUAUAAUUAAGUCUAAAUCUGAAGUUGGUCCAAUUUAAUUAUAUGUUAUGUGCAUGCAUAUUAGGUCAUAGAGCCUUAUGUUUAUAUAAUCUGUUCGCUUAAUUUUUAGGGGCAACACCAAAGGGCAUCUUGAAGGCUAUGAGCGUUUCUGGACUGACCAUCUACCAUAUCAAAAGCCAUUUGCAGGUUCUCUCUCCUUCUCUUUCUCUUAUAUGUUCUUCUUAAUCUGCCUAGGUUAAACUAAAACUUUUUAAUUUUGAGCCUUAAUUUCGGAAAAGUCGCUGAUUUUUUUUAAAUUUUCAGAAGUACAGGAUAUCAAAGUUCAUUCCAGAGUCGACCAGUAGUAAGUUUACUUGAUACUAUUUUUUUCCCUUAAAAAGUUUGGUACAUUUUCUUUACCAUACUUAUUAAUUACUGCUUAAAUGUUCUCUGGUAUUGUUUCGUUUUCCACAGAAGGCAAACUUCAGAAGAAAAACAUUUCAGAAAUGCUCCCUAAUUUCGGUGCAACGUCGUAAGUAAUCAUGUCCCCACUCACUAGCUUGAACUACAAGUAACAAUAAUAUGCUGUUUGUUAUACCAAUUAAUCACAGGCUUAACUAUUUAAUUUCCACCCUGCUGUUUUCAACACCUUCCAGUGGUGCUCAGCUCAAUGAAGCCUUAAAAAUUAUGCAGAUACAAGUACAGAGGAGACUGAGUGAUCAAAAUGAGGUAUAUAUAUGUAUCAUCUAUAAAUAUAUAAAUACAAAAAAUUAACAGGUUCACUCAAUUACUAAUAUGUUUUUUUGUGUGGGUUAUUAAUUUUAAGGUGCAAAAGAUUCUGAAACAUAAAAUUGAAGCCCAAGCAAGGUUCCUUGACAUAUUUUCAGCAGAACGCCAUAACAACAACAAGAACCGUCCGAUCUUAAUCACAAAACGCAGCAAAGUACCGUUGCCUCGGACAUCGCUGCCUUCACUUUGCGAAGACUCAGAAUCAAAUGCAAAGGAGUUUUGUUCUGACUCAGAGGCUGCUAAGACUGAAAUACAAUCCUCUGCAGAACAAUUCCAAUCUCUGAAGAGGCUUAGGCUACAUCAUCAAAACGACGAGGUCUGCGAGAUAGCACUCAAUUCAGAGUGGUAUAAUCAAAGCCACAGCUUGCUUCUCCCUCAUGAGGACCCUAUCAACUUUCCUUGGAACCUUGCAGACUGCUCAUCUCCCUUGGUGCCAACCUGCUUUCUAUAAGUAUUUUUUCUUUCUAUGAAUGCACAGAUAUAGUUUGUUUGCUGCAAGAAAUGGGAUAUUUUGAUUUUGCUGCUUCCAUUUAUUUCUCUGCUUUACUUGGAAGUUUGUGGAAGCAAUCAAAAAUAUCCAUAUCAUAUUUUUAGUAUAGAUACAGAAGUAGUUAAAGAUGUUUCCUAAUAAAAUGAUUAGCAUGAUCUUGUGCAACACUUUCACUAGUGCCAGUGGGUGAAUUAGAACAUGUAAAAUAAAGAUUUCAUUUGGGGUUUAGUGAGCAAAUAAUGCUGGGUUUGUUUCUGAAAUAAACUAAAACUACAUGGUAUUGUAUUUUUUUGGCUUCUGGUUUUGAUUGACCAUGGUAUUGUAAUAUUAAAGAGAUUAAAAAUCUGUUCUUCUUUUAUAUGUUUACCUCCCUACUCACUGCCCAAUAUUAUAGGGUUCAUUUGGGAGUAAUUAUGGACAUAUCAAUAAUCACUUUUAUGAAGAAUUACUUCCCUAUAUAAUCACUUUAAAUGAUUUUAAACGAUUCUGAGAAGAAGCACAUCCCGUUUGAUUUUCCAUAAAAUCACUUAAAAUCAUAAAAAUGAUUAUUGACCUAUUAAGAAUCACUUCUAAACGAGCCCUUAGCCUUAUUGAUUUGCCUGGUACAUUUUUGUUCUGGGGCAAUAGUAGACUCAAUAAUUUUACUUUACCAUAUGAAUUUAUAAACGAAUACAACUCGUCCAUAAAUUGUGAAUAUGUGUAGUUGGACGAAGGCAUAAAGAGUAUUGCUUCUAGUUCUUGGGCAAAUGGGCAAGUUUGGAGCUACGGUGUUAUGGCCCGAAAUAGCUGAGCUAUCUUUGAACUGCUUAAUUUUGGGUUGAACGUAGGGUGGCCCAUCCCCUCGGUACAUUUGGGCUCCACACAUGUUGGAAAAGAAAGAAAAAGGAAUUAAAAAAUUUCUUAAAUUUGACCACCCAAAAAAAUUAAAACCCCCUACUCUAGAAUGUAGAGAGGGAGUCAAGGCUCCACCUCCACCCAAAGAUGGUUGUUUGUGUUCGAAAUUUUUUAUAUAACUGUCAUACUGUUAUGUAGUUUUAAACUACAUGUUAUAAUAUUAAUGAAUGUUUGAAUUGAUUUUGCAUGGAACUAAAGUAUAAUAUUAAUAAAAAUUAAUAUUAUAAAAAAAAUUAAUAAUAUUAUGUGACAAUAUGACGAUUAUACCAAAAAAUUACUCUAUACAUCGACUAGUGUAUGGAGAAGAACAUCCUAAUAAUUGGUUUUUAAUGGGGACAAACAAGUGUGUUCGGCAUUGUGUAAAAGUUUGUUGCCUAACACAUGCAUGCGUUAGAUGAUAGAUGGUGCACCAAAAAGUGGGAUAUUUAUUUAGUGAUGACCAGGUCAAAAAAGUUGUACAAAUCAAACUUUCCAAUGAAAAGCAUUAAACAAACGUGCGUCCGUAUAUAUAAUAUGACGACUCUGCCCUCUCUCUCUCUUACGUUUUGCAUUUCUUUACAAUUAGAGAAGAAGAUUUUUGCUGCCUUGUCAAAGAGAGGUGUUGUGCUUGCUUUUAUAAUUCAUUUACAACCACACUAAUUUCAAUCUUAUCUAAAUGAUUACAUUCCUCCAGCCCAUUGUUCUCCACUUAAUUUUGAGGGUUUCUGAGAAGAAUGGCCGACUGAAUUGAAACAACAUGAAACUUAUGCUUAUUUUUUGGUCCUCAUUUUCUUCUCCAAAAGUAAUUCCACAACAUUAUUACUUAAACAAUUGGACCACUAGGAAUACAUUGAUUGAGAAUAUAUAUGGUGCUUGCUGGUCCACUUGUGUGUUUGAGAGUCGGUAAGUCAAGCAAAGAGAGCACUAGCAGAGCAAGUUAGGUACAUAAGUUUGUUUUCCUUCUCAAUUUUUCCAACAACAUAUAUCAGAUCACCACUACCUUACUUGUUUUCAACUGGAAAUAACCCCAACAUGAUAUCAAACAAAUGGGAUAAUUCCACAUUAUACAAUCAUAAUACCGCUAUGUAAUCUAUUCACGUAAAUUACAUAUGAAUAUCAUAAUAGUAACACGUUGCGAUAUCACUGUUAUAUUAGAAAAUUACUAAAUUCGACUUGUCGCAUGCAAUAAUAUAGAGUAGAUAUAUUUUAUUGUGGAAGUCUACAACAAAUUACAGGAUCAUUCUUGGUGCAACAACAACCACCAUAUUAUAUAUAUAUAUAUAUAUAUAUAUUCUAAUAAAAAGACAGAGAAAUUAAAUAUUAUUAUUCAUAGGAUUUUAACGAUUCAACUUGUGCCUUGCCACAAGGCCCCUUCGUCCUAAUGAAAAGUCGAUACUGAUCAAAUGUCAUGGGUGCAUAAAGGGCAGGACGGUCCUUUGUGACAAGCUUCUUGGCAGGUUGGAUCAACAAAUCACUCUUUGGGUUAUAAAACAAGGCCAAAGAGACCCUGUCUUUGACUGAAUUUACAAUCACUCUGUGCUCCACGCUCUUGUAAAUUGCAUUGCUCAGCACCUGCAUUUGGUCUCCAAUGUUCACAAUGAAGGCAUUUGGAACUGGUUUCACUGUAACCCAAUUCUGCCCUUUGCGCACUUGAAGCCCAGCCACAUUUUCAUCAGGCAAAAGAAGGGUCAAGCCACCUGGGUCAGAGUGUUCUGAGAGGCCAAGGGUUAGGUCUGGCUGGGGGCAUUUUGGGUAGAAGUUGACCCUCAAACAUGCCCCAAUGUUUUCUUCUCCUCCAAAUGCGUUGAGAAGCUGGUCUUCCUCUAGCCCAAGGUUUUGUGACAGGAGCUUCAUCAGUGUUCCACAUAGUCUUACAGUUGCCUCACUGUAUUCUUCAAUCAGUUUCCUACAAAAAUUAAUUCAAAAAAUAUUAUUAAAACAUCAACAGACAGCAAAUUAAAAGUUGAUAUUAUACUUUGAGGGGACUCUUCUAAUUUUGGAAGCACUUUCGAAGUGCUAUUUGCAUGUGCUUACUGUAGCUCUAAAUCCUUGUGUUGGGCAUCGAUAUACUUGACGGUGAAGGACAAAAUGAAAGGGCCAAGGGAGGCCUAGAUCUGCUUUUUAGGAAAUUGCCCACUUCGUGCUUUUAGGCAUGCAAUUAACUUAACUUGGUAGAUCCAUUAUAAAAGACUCAGAGCACUAAGCUACAAAGUAUCCAUGUCAAGGGGUUUGGAAAAAACAAGAGAUUUCUUUUUUGUGGCAUUCGUUAUCUCAAGUUUGGAACACAAGAAUACUUUACAUAAAAUCCCUAAAUUCUAUUUAACUUUGAUACUCACAAAUAAAAAGCUUUUUAUUAGAAUAUAUUGAGGAUAUUCUAAAAACUGAAAACAAUACUUAUGAGAUUUACUAUUUUAAGAAAGAAAAAAAGUAUCUAAACUUCAUCAAUUUAAAUUUGCAUAUCUUUUUGUACUAAGAUGUUAAAGUGCAAUUUUCAAGCUCAAAGUUUCAUCAUUGUCCUCCUGCGCCCCCUAACAAAAAGACAAACAAAAGACAAAUAGACCAUUGUCUAGACAAAAAGCAAUGUAUGUAUCAUAUAUGCAAGAAGAGCUAAACACAAUUUGUAAGCCAAUAAAUCACAGCUUCGUAAGUUAUUAAUUCAAGUAAGCUCGAUUGUAAUUAAUGAGAUUCAUACUGAAUCAUUUGCAUGUGUAUCUACACAACAUUUCUUUCACAAUGAAGAAAUCAUAUGUAGCCACCACAUGAAAGGUUGAAUAUACACAACGAAAAGUUCAUAAAAGCACGUUUUCAAUGAAAAACAUGCCUCCCUUUUAAAAUUAUUAUAAUAAUAAAUUAUAAAUAAAUAAAUAAAAAUUUACCUGCAUGAAGAUGGGAGGGCAGGCCACUUGCUAUGGUUUCUGAGGGAGGCGGGCAUAUAAUGGAGAAAGUAAUAGUCGCUCCAGUCCAAAAUAGCCCCCUUCUCAACCCCCAGCCGACUCCCGUACCCUUCGUACGUACUCGGCUUGUUCGAAUACUCCUGCUUCACAUCCAGCGGCAGCCCGAAAAACUCGCGCCAUGUGUCCCUCGCCCGUUUCAUCAGCUCCUCGCUCACCCCGUGGUUCACCACCUGAAAAAACCCCCACUCCCUGCAGGCGCUCGAGAUCGAACGCAGCGUCGUUUCGCGCAGGCUCUCCUCCUGGCUGAGCAGGUUCUGGAGGUCAAUGACCGGGAUGUUGACUUCCACUUCAGCUUGGUUGCAGUUUGCGGGAAGAAGUGAGGGUCGUUUGGUGGGGGGUUUGAUGUAGAGGUCCGGGAUGGCUGUUAUGCCGCUUUCUGCCAAGGACUGGACUCGAACGAUAGGCUCAGGCCAAGACUGCAAGCAAUUCAUUGUUUUUUUUUCUUUGUUAUAACUUAUAAUAAUAUGUUAAAGUGAUGAGAUAUAUUUGUAGCUGCAAUAUCUCUGCAAUAGCUGCAAUGCGAGAGUGAGAGGAGGAGUUUGGAGGCUUAUAUAAAGAAGUGGAGGGGGGUGUGGGUGUGGGGGCUGAGAGCUAGCUAGCUAUAUCUAGUUUCGGCGCCGUGAGCAACUUGAUUUUCUCAUCACCAUAUUUUAAAGAAAAAUACAUAAAUAAUUUGGUACUUGUAAAAUAUAAGUAGAUUCAGAUGCGCUAUAAAUUUUCUCUAUUAUGAUAUGAUUAGGUAAUAUUUGCGUAAAGAUAGAGAGAGGUAUGUACAUAUCUUUGUCUUUAGAGAAUUGGGUUAUUAAUGUUUAAUUUUGAUGUAGAUGAAUAUUAGUUUUGGUCCAUGCUUCAUAUGUUUGGAGUUGAACUGUAUUAUUAUUAUAUAAUACAAGUAGCAAGACGGCAGGUCCAUCAUAUACAUCGUAUGGCUAAUUAAAGCUACACAUAAAAUAAAUAAAAACUACAAGGGGCUUGUGGCUGAGCUUCUAUCAAUCCACCUAUCUUUGUCUUUGUACCUCUCAGUGUGAUAUUUCCCUCAACUUUAUUGAUUUAUGCUGAGCAGUCCAUUUCCAAAAUUUUACAAUUACGUGUAAUUUUAAUUCAUAUAUAUUCCCAAAUUAUAAGAGCAUGAGGUGUUAUGUGUCAUAAGCUCAUUCCUCCUUACUCAAAAAACUUAUCGAUAUUACUACUUUUGCAUAAUACUUUCUUAUUCGUCGUUUAAGUCUUCUUCUAAACAAUGAAAGUAACUAUAACACUCAAGAUUUUUUUUUUUGUCAUUUAUCUCGUACACUAACGUCGUCGCAUUAUCUGUUAUAUCAUUAAAUUAUCAUCAAAUUUAAAUAAAAAAUUAUUAUUUUUCUUCAAUAUUACUGUUCUUAAUUACUUUUUGUUGUUUCUUUUUUGAAAUCAACUUUGUAUCGAUUUUCUUCUGGCUGAUCGUAUAGCUGACAGCAAAUGAAUAUCCUCCACAUACUCUGCUAUUCAUUUGUGGACCAAUUCUCCAGUUGCACUACUGUUUCGAUAAAACAAGUAGACAAGACAAGACAAGUCAUCCAAAUUCCAUUUUCUUUUUGCUUGCUCUCACGUUGCUAUAAUGUCUCCACUUAUUAAGAGCUCCAUAUAUGGUUGGAAUAGGAACCUCAUUACAUUGCCUCUCUUAAAACCUACCAAAACUAGCAAAUUCUUAUCAUCUUACAUUAGAACGAGUAAUUGAGGGGCCUUUCAAAUCACAUUCCAUCAGCUACCCAAGUUAAUUCAAUUAGCUAGGGGAGCAUUUUUCUCAUCACUUUAACUCAACAUAUAUCAUCGCAAUCCUUUUCAACAUCUGACAUGUGUACAUGGACAUAACCAUAGUUCCACAAAUACAAAGUAAAUAGUUAGGGUUAUGCUCAUGAACACGUGUCAAAUAUUGAGAAGAAUGAUAAAAAUAUACUUUUAGUUAAAAUAGUGAGCAAAAAUAAACUAUAUAUAAACUUUUGAAGUGUAUGUACAAUGUAACCCUACUAUAUCUUGUCUACCUUAUUUUUGCCAGGUCACGUGGACUGUCUUCCACUUGCAUUUCAUAGUAAGUUACAAAUCAUUUACACAUUUUUUUUACCUUUACCAAUUCAACCAAAAGAAAAUAGACGAGAAAUGUCAUCGAAGCUUCAUUGCUCUGGAAAAGUAAAAAGUAAAAAAUAGUAAUAACAUUUCCUUCCUCUUUCCUUUUGUCUUAUUCAUGAAAUUGGAACUUAAUUGGGAUCAAAAUAAUUAAAAAUCCAUCCACGAAUCAAAUCAACACUAUAAAUCAUUAGUCGUGCAUGUGAAUGUGAUCAUCAAUGUCAGUGUCGAAUAUCUUUUUUGUUUUUUUGUUUUCUUUUUUCAAAACACAUUUGUGGCUAAUUGAGUCACGAAUCAUUUACACAACUGGGUUUGUUUGCCUUAAGCUUCCGUGGAGGAAAGCAAUUCCGGCUGCAGCACAAGCAACGUUACGUUAGCUAGGGUUCUGAGAAUAUAUAUCAAUGUCAAUCUAGUAUCGACCGCAAUUUUACAGUACAUUAAUAUUAGAAUAUGUAGAGAGGAGUACAAGUCUCCAAAGAUAAUGUUUUGGCCGACAUCAUUUGCAUCACGUGGGAAAUUCGAAAAGAAAAUGUGUGACAUUAUGGAGAUGAUGAGAUCACUCUGCCCCUAUCCCCUUGGCCUUCCAGAAUCGGAUGUCCCCGAAGACCUUUUCUUUUUCUUUUUUUUGGUGUGAUAGAGAUGCCAUUAAAAACAAAUUAAAAAUAAAACUAGAAGGGUAGUGGUAGGAGUAUAAUUGGAAGUUUGUCAUUGACAAUUUCAUUAUAAAAUGCUUUUAUAAUCUUUAAAAAAACUCGUAAUCUUUGUUUAUGGGUAGGUUUUAUUUCACCAAACCAUAUUUAAAAGAUUUGGCAGUUUAAAAGUGGUGGGACUCCUAGUCUCCUACUCUCCUAACCUAGUUUUAUAUUUAUUUGCAAGGACACGCAGUGUGAAAUUAUAAAUUUGUUUUUUUUCAUUUUUAAUUUUUUAUGUUAUCACGUGAAGGGGUUAUAAUAUUUUCUAAGUGUAUAUAUAUAUAGAGCUUCCAUUGAAGGAUCUCUCAAAUAAUACUCUUGUAGAGUCUACUACGCGUUGUAUUUCACUAAUCUAAACCGUCUAUUUUGUAGAUAUUCAUUUAAAGAUUAUCUCCACAAAUCCGAUAUCAUUUGACCACUCAAUUAAAUUAUUGAAAUUUGAGUACUUUCUUGAAGAACUGUGUUCAUUGAUUUUAUUGGUCUCAAUUAGAUGCCUUAAUAAUUUUUAAUGUGCAUGAAUUUUUGCAAAAAUGAUCUUUGAAUGAAGAUAUAAAAAAUAGAUGAUUUAGAUCGUUGAAAAAAAAAUUGUAAAAAAUCUCUUAAUAAAAAGGGACUAUAUAUAUGUGGACAAUACAUACAUGUGUUCUCCUUGAAUUUACUAAUGACUUUUGAUGUAGCUAUCGAUUGAAGCUCAAGUUGUUGAGUUCCAUUGUAAUCUUCCUCAGCCUUUAUAAUUUAUUAUUUAAGUAGUUGAAGUGCAAAGUAUAUGAACACGUAGCUAGCUAUAGUUUUGGUGGUAGAUACUAAGUUCCGCCAUUUCUGGAAAAUUGUAAGAUGAUAUCAAACUGGGGUGGGUAGGUAGGUAUGUAUGUAGGUUUAAAAUAAUAAAAAAAUAUAAAAAACCCUAUAUUUUUCCCUGAGCUGCCAACCUUUUUGAUAGGUUAUUCUGUAAGGAGGUUGAAAGAGUCGGUCCCAAAAAAACACAUACAGUAGGGUGACUUUGAUCUUAUAUAUCUUGCAGAGCUUAAGGCAGGGCAUGGAUCUGCCGUAACGUGCUGUUAAAGAUCAUGACAGAUGUUGAUAAUAAUGAAAUUAGACAACUUAAACUUGAUUAAUAUUUGGGUUUAAGUCAACUUGAACUGUAUUAUGAAUGAGAAAUGUAAAAAAAAGGAAAAAAAAUCAAACACAUGUUAUGUGGUUCUUGUUUUAAAUAUAUAACUGAAAUUAAAAAUAAAAAAAAAGACAUAAUUAUAGGAUAAAUCAGCGCUAUAUAAACCAAUAAUGAAGCGAUUCUUCUUUGGGCACGUGAUGAAAUUCAUCAUAAUCUGCAUUUCAGAGUCAAUCACUUUCCAUCAAAAGUCCUGGGUUUUGAAUAUUAUGCUAUGCCUAUAAUUUUCGUCCUUUGCUUAAUCCAUCUGGUUUCAACAUACAUUAGAUGAUAGUCUUCUGUUGACUGAGAACGACAUGCUUAAAAGUACAACUUUGCCCCUUACCAUUUUAGCGGAAAUACAUAUACAAGAUUCAUGAAUGAGAAUGUAUACAUGUUGUUGAUCAAGUCAAAAUUUGAAUGUGCCUUCUUUUUCUUGGUUCAGAUUACAUAUAAAAUGUUGGAUGGGAAGAUAUUUUCAAAUGCACAAGAGAUUUUUCAAAGACAUGUCGGGGAAAGAGCACAGUUUCUAUUUCUAGCUAGGCUAGACUUAAAAACAGCAUCCAAUUUGUUUUUAGCACCUGAAAUUGAGCUUUUUUUACGCCAAAUAAACAUUGCCUUUUUGGCUUUUCACAAUUCUUUUCUUGUAUUUUAUCGGACGAACGUAUAUAUCUUUGUAAUGAACGGUUAUACAUUGGCAUGCAAUAUCUGGAGGGUAUGGGGUGAAUUCAGAUGGAUUGGAAGGGACACGUGCCAAACCUCCAAUGAUCCUAUCCAAUCACAUGGUGGUGGGAGGCAAUCUCUCACGUGAAGUCCCAUGCCCCAUGCCCCAUCCAUAUGCUCGUGCUUCAUGUCUCUGGUCCCAGUCAGUGGCGCAUGCAUGAAUUUUCUUUUCUUGGGGCAAGAAAACACUACUAUCAAGUUACUAAUUAGUGAAGAUCAUGUUAAGAUUUUAGAGGUACGGAUUAUUGGCCCACCACUAGCAAUAUCGAUAUUGUUCUCAACUUAACCACCUGUUUAGUAAGUGUGAGGUUUUAUACAAAAAGCCUUGAUGUUAUUGGGAGUGGAACUAUUUAUUAUAUGAGACUUUCUAUUUUGUUAAGUUUUCGAUGUGGGACUCGGGUAUUCUUCAACAUUGAUGUUGCUAGUGGUGGGUCAAGGGUCCGUCCCUCUGAAAUCUUAACAUGGUAUCAGAGCGGGUUGGUUGACUGGGCCCGAUUAAACCAAAUCAAACAAAAACCCCAAAUUGAAUCAAAAUCAAACAAACCCCAAAUUUAAUAAUUUUUUUUUUUUAAAAAGUGACCGAUAUGGAAUUGGUUGCACGUGUGGCUCACUAAAAAGUAGUCCCACGUGAGUAGGAGUGUUGAAGAAUACACGAAUUCCACAUCGGAAACUUAACAAAAUAUAGAAAGUCCCAUAAAAUAACCGGUUCUACUCCUAAUAACAUCGAGGCCUUUUGUAUAAAACUCCACACCUGCUAAACAUGUGAUUAAGUUGGGGACAAUGUCGAUGUUGCUAGUGGUGAGCCAAGGGUCCGUCCUUCCGAAAUCUUAACAGAUCAAUCAACUCUUGGAUGUAUUAAAAAUAAUCAUAUAAACAUAUACUUGCACAAAUUAGUGACACAAACUUUACACAUUCUACCUAGUUCCUCUAUUGCACGACACAAAGAAGAAUAACAUAAGUAGAGCAGUAGAGCAGGCUGCCAAUGGGGUCAUACCAUAGUGAAAAAGUAUGUUUGGCCUAAGACUAGUGAUCUCAGGUUCAAAAUUCUUAGGCACCAAUAUAUGUAAGUAAAUUCCUCUCCCCCUUUCCACCUUUGACCCAAAGAAGAAGAAGAAAAGAGAAGUAGAGCAAGCCACCCCCUUUGCCCUGCCUUAGUCUUCUUUGAGGAAGUUGAUCAAACAACUUGCCUGACAUUCUCCCAUUCAAUACAAACUUUCAUAACAAUUUGGCACCUUCACAGGGCAAGUGCCUUCAUUGGACUCUUAAUGGAUCCGCCAAUGGUCCCAGUGUGCAUGUUUCACCCUAAACCACAACCCCUUUGGGAGCCAUGAAAAUGUAGGUGAUUAGUCAAUUAAUAAAUGUCAAUCACCGUUGCAAUGAUGUAAGAGUAACAGACAAAAUGCAGACUUGAGUAGACAACUUUCACCGACUUGAUUUAACCCGGUUCCAAGUUCGAAUCAUCUCUUUUUAUUAUGUGGUUCAAAAAGGUUUCAAUUGAACCUAAUCUGAGGAUUUCAAAACCGAAUUCUCUUCGAAGUGAAUAUUUUUACUGCCAAUUGAUGGCAUCGAGUUGAUGUGUUCUAAUUGUAGAAAUAAUGUACAAGAACAUGGAGACGUUUAGUACAAUGCAACAUGUUUAACAAAAAGAGUUCCACCACACAUACAGAUUCUUUUUUGGUAAUAUAUUUCACCACUCUUCUGUCUAGCCCGAAUAUGGGAAUCAAACUGAAUGAUUGAAAUCUUUUGUGCCGCACUUGAUCUCAUAGAAUGUGAAUCGAUCCUCAAGAGCAGAAUGCCGAUCCUUAUUAGUUAUUAGGUUUUACAAUCCCACAUCACAUCAGUAUACAUUUCUUAACUACAUAAAGAAAGUUGUUUCCUGUGUGCACAUGUCAUGCUGUUAGAGAUCAAAUCAAACCCACAAAAUUGUCACUGUUGAAGCAAAAUAUCUACUGAUCCUAAGUCAAAUAAUUAAGCCAAUCAAUUUAGGAAUUAUUUGGCCUAAUUGAGAGUUAUUUGAUUUAAUUGGUUUUGCAGAGAGAGAGAUAAGCGAAGAGGAAGACGGAAUCUUAGAUGAAUAUUCUCGUAGAAUAUAAAAUCGCUCCCACAGUCACUCUAAAGUCUAAACAGAACAUCGAUCAAUCCAUUUGCUCUUAAUUUGUUUUAAUGAUAAUUAUAUAUUAAUUCCAUGCAUUGAUUUUAACAUAAUCUUUUCAAGAAACAAGAAGGUGAAAUAGACAAAGUUAACUUAUGCAUGGUUCAUAUGAUGACGACAAUGCAUGGUUUAUGCACCACUUUAAAAAAUAAAAUAAAAAAACCAUUGUGGGGUUGCAUGUCCACUAAUUUUACCUGUAAGUGAUGCUGCACUUUGUGGACUAGACAAAAAGUAAAGGAAGAAGGAGCAUUUUCCUUUUGUCCCGGCCAUGUUAUUACUAGUGUUUUUCCAGUUUGACCAUUCAAGGAUGCAAAGCAAAGCAUGGGAAAUGAGAAACUUAUUCAUUUUGCUUGGCUAAGUUUUCGUUCACCAGUGGAAUUGAUUUGACCAAAUUAAAGUAGAAAACUUUUGUAUAUCUUUCUGAAGUUUGCAGCAAACACAAGGAAGAAGGAAGAAGGCAUGAAGAUGCUUGAAGAUGCUGUUCUUAUCGCUAUCUUUUCUUUUUUAUUUAAAGAGGAGGACAGUCAUGACUCAAACUCUCCAUUUCCUGCCUGUGGUGGAGUUUGGGGAUGCAUCACUGAGGUGUAUGUGUCCCCUUCAGGGACUAUUCGUCGCAUCAAUUUAAUUACAAGAUUAAUUAAGAGAUUUUGAUUGAGUUGUCUACUCCAACAAAAAUUGGUGUGAACUCAAAAAAAAUAAAAAUAAAAAGAUUUUAAAACGUGAUAGUAUUUUUGACAUGCUGCCUAGAUUAUGAUAAAGAAACAUUAAGCUCAUGAAGCUCCUUUUAAAUAAAAUAAAAUAUAUUUAUGCAUUCUUUUAUCAAUAAUUGAUCAAAGUAGCUAGGUUAUAAUCAGUUCUUUUUGUUAAGCAAAUUGUCUAGUAUUUCAAUUUAAUAGAUAAGCCUAAUGCACCAUCAUUCAUCUGACCUAAUUUACGUCUGCCUCUAAAAAUCGAAGCGUAACUAGUUAAACUGAUAUGUAUUCUUCUAGUUGUUUGGUUCUAUUUUAUAAAUUUUGGGGGUUUCAGAGAGAUCCUCUGAUGAAUUGAUGAGCAUGGGAUUAACACUUUCUAUAGAUAAAUUAUAAUAUUAAAAAAGAAAAAAGAGAGAGUUUAACUAUAAGAUGCCCAAAUCAAUCAGCACAGCAUCUAGAACUUCAAAAUCAAUUGUGGCUCAAAUGAAUUCACCUGGAUAUAAACAUAAACAAAGACAAUGGGAGUGAGAUUGUGGAGCUUCCACAAUGUGGAAAUCUAUCCAAGUUGCACUGUUUUUUAUUUUUAUUGUUUAUGAGAAAAAGUGGACACACCAGGCAGCAAAGCAAUAGCUGCCAACCAACCAUAAAUUGGGGGUUAUCUGUGGAAGAUAAUGGUGAAAAUAAACUUAUUAAAGUGCAUAGUUUGGCCCAUUUGGGAGAUUAAAAAUAGUGCAUUAUUAUAAUUUGAUUGAGAUGGGCCUAUUUGGCAUCUUCAUCUUGUGCUUCACCAUGAUAUUGAUAGAGACUGACUGUAGUCCUGGCUGCGCCGGAUAAGACGAUAAAUUCAUGGAGUUAAUGGAACAGAGCUGUCAAGAAGAACACUCGUGUUCUUUUUUGGGUUUCUUCCUCGUAUACAAAUUCAAAUACAACUAUACGUAUAGAAUAAUACCAUCACCUUGUAAACAUACCCAUUUCUUUUGUAUUGGGGAAAAUGCGGGGCUAGAAGCCUUAGAAGCCUAGAAGCCCAACAACAACUCAUUUUAAUCGAAGCACACUACAAGACCAUAUUUCUUUGAAAAGUAUAACACAAUACGACAUAGUUGAAUCCAAUAUGAUCAAGCAAAAUACAGCUACAGAAGAAGGUUGGAGUGGACAAGAAUAGGACAGAAUCAUACACGCUGUGCCAUAGCUACGAGGUACCAUGUGUUUUACACGAUUAAAUGCUCGCCGUGACAAAAUAAGUGUUCCCGGGCCCCUCCAGGAUCCUUGUAUGGCAGGCACCCAAGCAAAAAGGAGCCCCAUCCUAAAUCAAGGGACCCUAACAAUAAUCACAAAAGAAAGCAGGCAGAUGAUGUGCCGGAAAUGACCCGAUACUUCUUUUGUAUCAAUAAUCCAAUGACUGAACUUGUCUAUGUUUCACUCAUUCCCCAAAUUUAUGGACCCAUCCUUCAUCAGUUUUAUGCUUAGACUGUUGAAUCUCCCUCUUGAGUAAUGUCGAGAAGCCUUUCUCCAGUCUGUCCCAGUUUUCAUCAUGGCGACAAAUUCGUCAUAGCUGAUAAGCCCAUCCUGCAUCCAUAAAACAAAAACAUCAGUUAGUCAUCUCAAAUAUCAUAGCCUAGGGUCAUAGGAAACUCUUCCUUGGGUCCUCACCUUGUCUGUGUCCACUUCUUGAAAGAUGUCAUUUGCUACAUCUGUACAAUCAUCUGCCCCAUCUUCCAUCAGUGCAUCGCGGAGCUCGUCUGGCUCAAUGUAGCCGUUGCUAUUUUUGUCAAAGUAGGAAAAUGCCUUGUGAAGAUGUUCAUCGUUGGCCAUUCUCUGUAGGUGGAGGGAAACAGCAAUAAAUUCUCCGUAGUCCAGGGUUCCCUUCCCAUUAGUAUCAACCUGUUACCAACAAACUCGCCAAAUUAAAACCAGAAGAGACUGAUUUACCACUGGAAAUUAUCUCAUUCAGUAGUUUUCAAGAGUGACCCAGGAACAAGGGCAACUAAAACAGGAAAGAGAGACACAAUACAACAAGAAGAUAUGCUUUAUCAUCACCUUUACCCAUACAACAACUACAUUACCUUUUCCAUCAAAACACAAAAUUUGUGUUCAAAGUCAAAAAAUUUGGGUUUAGAAUUCUAGGUACAUGCAAGGAAUGUCUUGAUGUUAAAGGUGCCUAAGAAGGUGUUGUCCACAUGAAGACCAGUGCAUUUCUAAAGGUGCCUAUGCUACUUGCAAUCGAACAACCUAGGAAUGCAUCUAGAACCAACCUCCAUGAAGGAUAACUUUCUAAUCCACCAGAACUAUGGACGAAUUGGUCAUAUUCCUAAGAAUGCAUCCGUACAGUAUUGCUAGUCCACCCAAGGUACUACAAGAAAAAAUUGUUUCCUAGGACUGUCCUUAGAAUUACAAGUGUAUUACAGUAUAGGUUGAAUGUGUUAACUAGGUAAUAAAUCGAUAUCUACGCCAAUAAAACUUAAGUCAUCAGGUUAGGAGGCUCAUUUGAUACUUAAAUAUCAAAUACGGUAUCUAACCAAUGCGUAUUCCCUUUAACACCCUCUCACGUCUGCAUCUAAUUAAAGUAAACAAUCGAGAACCAUAUCUAACUAAUAAAAGAUUAUGGAUCAUGAAAAGACCAAUAUCAAUUUCAACUGUUUGAUGUGUAAUAGAUUAUGUCAUAGUUGACCUCACGCUAGAGGUACUGUUGAAAGCAAAAUAUGAAGCAAUACUCACAGCUUCAAUAAGCAAUUGAACUUCAGACUCGGCAAGUUGGGAUCCAAAAUUUCGAAGUCCAGAUUUUAACUCUUCAAUUGACACAAUGCCAUCAUUAUCAGUGUCUAUCUUCUUAAACAUCUCCUUAAUGUCUUCAACUUCAUCAAUGGAAAAGAAAUCCGCAAUAACCUGUUUGAAGUCCCACUUAAAUUAGUCCUUGCAUUGAACCAUACUACAUAAUAGCAAACACAUAAGAAAGUUUGUAAGAGCAGUCAACCAACCCUCAGGGCUUUUCUUUUGAAUCUGUUCAUCAUUGAAAACUGCUUAAGCCUUGACUUGACAACAUCUCCAAGGGGAAUGUUUGGAGCUUUCUUAGCAUUUUGGAGCCAAGGAUGCUCUGGAAAAAGAGAAAUUACCACAGAUCAGGUAUAACAUAAAUGAAGCAAGAUAUAACAACAUUUUAUGGUCGUACGGCAAAAGCUGUACAUAGCAGUGGUCCUAUAUCUGGAGACUGACAGAUUUUCCAUACACAGGAUGUCCGUUAAGAUCAGAAAUGUAGAUACUCACACCAAUGCAUUGUUUGUGCACGUGUGUAUCAUACCUUAUUAACAUGUCAAAAUUUCUUUAUCAUGUACCAAGAUCCCUAUCUAGAGUUUGUUGAAACGCAAUAUUUGACAUACAUUUCAAAUCAUAUAUACAAGAUAGCAACCUCAGCAUAAUCUCUUCUUAAUAUAAAUAAGGGCUUGCUCAAUUGCCACAUUUUCAACGUGCAAUGGAUCCAUAUCACAUCUAAUUAUCACAAAGAGAUGCAAAUUACCAAGCACUUGCUUUGCAGUCAAUCGUAGCUUUGGGUCUGGCUCCAACAUUUGCCUAACUAAACUCUUGGCACUCUCCGAAAUAUUGGGCCAUGGAUCACGUUUGAAAUCUAUCAGUCCACGAAGAAUUGCCUGUGCAACCCCUUGUUCAGACUCUGCAUAGAAGUACAAAAAGGUAAAUGGAAACCUCUUAACAGAGAAAGCUCCCAUCCCGCAGGGGGAGGAGGAAAGAAAGGGGGGAGGAGCAAGUGGGAGAUAUAAUUACCCGCCCAAAAAGGGGGAACCCCACACAAUAAAAUAUAGAGUAUAACUCCUGCACUCCAUAUAUCUAUUUCUGGCCCAUAAUUCCGCUUGAGAACCUCAGGAGCCAUGUAAUAUGGACUUCCAACAAUUUCUGAGAAUCUCUCACCUAGAAUGUGGAAAAGUUAAUAAUCUGAUAACAUACAUAUGACAAGAAUAUAUACCCAUAUUAGCAUAAUUAGGAAAAACAGUUGAAAAUUCAUGCCUGCAAUGUUAUAGUUUUUAAUAACAGUAACAAUAGUUCAGAGUUUCUAGACUUAGCACACAAAAUAGAUAUUAAGAAAAAUCUAUUUCUUUUCAACUUCCUGUUCAUAGUUGGACAUUAUUGUUGUAACUCAUAGACUUUCCACGUAGUAAAUUCUUUGUUUCAUAUCAGAAAAAGGAAAAACUUAUCUCUUCAACCACUCUACAUGUUCUGUUGCUUGAGUAUCCAUCUCUUAAAACAUAUCAAUAUCAUCACAUUAUGUUGUUCUCAAUUUAGUGGUAUGUUAAGCUGUUAGCCUGUUACUUUAUUCCACUGGUAGCUAAGAGCAUCCACAAUGGGCUCCCUAAACCACCUCCUUAGACAAAUUUUAGGGAGGAAUCGUAAAAAUGCAACUCCAACCACGCUCCCUAUCCACCUCCUAAAAUAGGGAGCCCUCUAGGAGCUCCCAAAUCUGAGGAGAGAGAAAAGACUCCUAGUGGCUGCCUAUAAUUUAAUGCUGCUUUAUUUAAUGAGUAUUUCAAACCUUUAUUUAAUGCUAACUAUUUUUUAUUUUAUUUUUUAAUAGAGAUAGACCAAUCAAAAAAGAGUUAUAGCAUUUACGACUCUCCAAAUUAGGGAGUAUGGUUGGAGUUGAAAUUUUUUAGAGAGCUCCUAAAAUAGCUUUCUUAUAUUCUUAGCCAAAUUUUAGCUAAGAAAUAGAGAGCAUCAUUGUGGAUGCUCUAAUUUAAAGAACUUUUUCAAGCUUUUUCAUUACUUGAACAAAGGGGAAUCUACAAGGUAGGAGCGGUCAAAGAGAAGUGCAAAAUAUAAGAGGGAGAAUUGAUUGCAACAAUGAAACUUCUCUAAUAUGGAACUUGGAUAACAAGAUUACAUGUAUUAUUAGAAGUUCAUUCUUAAUCAUGAAUUCUGCAGUCAUCCUUCAUCUCCUACUCCCAUAAACCAACCAAUACAUCACCCCACCUUUCCCCCCCUCCUCCUCUCAAAUGAAUUCUUACGGUACACAUACAAUUCUUUGAUUGCAACUUAACAAUGGCAAUCUUGAAAUAUGGCGUUUCUAACUGUAAGAGCCACAUCAGCAUCCAUUUGUGCACAGCAUUGGACAAUAGAAUAAACAACAAAAAUGCGAGUACUGUACAGGGUAACUACAGGCAAUUAAGGUAAACAAAAUAUAGAAUUCAUUGAAGAUUAAAAAAAAAUUAUAUCCAUACUUGAGCCAAAUAUAGUAAGCCAAUUAUGUCUUCAAGGUAGUCACAAUCAAAACUUUCUAAGUUACUAUAUGCAGUAGAGAUAGUUUCAAUUAGCAUUGCAAAAUCAGAAACCCUAAAUUCAAAUUCAUACCUGGCUUGAAGAAUAUAGACAGGCCGAAAUCAAUGGCCUUUAGAGGCGAAUUCUCCUUCUUGUUCGCAAACAAGAAGUUCUCGGGCUUCAAGUCCCUAUGAAUCACUCCAUGCUUGUGACAGAGCUGCACGACCUCAACAAUGGUCCUGGUGACCGCCGCGGCAGCUCGCUCCGUAUAAUGCCCCCUCGCCACAAUCCGAUCGAAGAGCUCACCGCCCUCGCACAACUCCAUCACCAAAUGCACGGCAUUUUCGUCCUCACAAGCCUCCUUCAAGCUCACGAUGCUCGAAUUCUUCGGCAAAUGCUUCAUAAUCGCCACUUCGCGCCUCACAUCCUCGAUGUCCACUGCGGUCCUGAGCUUCCGCUUCGAAAUGCUCUUGCAGGCCAAGAGCUCACGACUGUGGCGGUCGAUACAGAGGUACGUGACGCCAAACUCGCCGCGGCCGAGCUCUCGAUCCACCAAGUACUUCUCCUCGAUGUUCUCCUUGGGCACGCCGGUCAACACUGUCGUCGGAGCCUUCUUCCCGGCGCUGGAGUCCCUCCGGCCGUGAUCGUGGCCGGAAAAGUUCGAUUUCACGUCCUCCCUGGCGACGGCGGCCGGAGAUCUGCAACAAUUGCCCAUUGCGAAGCGCGCGCUUGGUAGCUCUGCACGGAUCUCGCCAAAACCCUAACUAGCGCUAGGCAAGCUAGGGUUUCACAUGAUAAUGCCGAAACCCAAGCCUUGUGAGAGAGAAAGAGAGAGAACAGCAGCAGAGUAGUCUGAACUGUGAAAUCAAAGCAAAUGCGAGAGAAAGAGGGGAAAAGAGAGAAAAUGGUCUGCAAAAGAUAGUGAGGGUGUAUGGUGUACCUUAGUUGUAGAGUGAAGAAGAGAGUGAGAGUGAUGGUGUUUUGGAGAUUUUUUUUAUAUUAAUUUUUAUUUUACGUAAUUAUUAAUUUGAAAUAAAGAAAAAAAAUUAAAAAAUUUUGAAGAAUAUUUUAUGUUCUUCUUUGGUUCUGUGAAUUUUGUCGGGUCAUCGAGAAGGAGGGUUUGAACGGUCGGAACGGGACGGUGUGAGUGGGGGGAAAACAGAGAGGACGAUGGGUUGGCGUUGGCGUUGGCGUUGGCCGUUGGGGGUUGUUUGUUCGUUUGUUUGUUUAUAAUGAAAUUGUUGGUGGCCUUAGGUUUGCCGUUUAAUUAAUUUGUGAUAAAUUUAACCCAACACCUAGAGCUAGAAGGCAGAGGCCAGGCCCAGGGGCCACAGGCUAGACAACAGACAGAAUGAUAGGGCUUAAUUAAAUAAUCAACUUUAUUUUGCUGCCCCUGAGCUUGUGGGAAUUCACUAUUCUGCCUUAAGUAAUUUGGCAAUUUAGAUUUCUGUCUCAGUUCUUAAAUCUGUUUUUUCAUUAAAAAAUUUAACCAAUUAUAAAUUUAAGAAGGAAAAAAAUGGGUGAUCUUUGGGUUUCUAAUUUUGAUUCAUGAUUAGUAUAGGGAGGAUAUUUGCAAACAAUGUGUAUAUAACAUUUUUUUUUGUUGAGUUUUACAUAUGAAUCACGUGAUAAGUCGUCACAAGAAAAACGUUAUAUACACUUGUUGUACGCAAAAAUUCCAUAUAACGUAAAAGAUUAAGUGAGAUUUGAAAGUUGUUUUUUGAUUUGAAAAUAUUGGGAAAACAUUAACCAGCUGAUUUACCAACUUGAAAGGUAGCCUUGCUAAUGAAAUGCUAUAAAAUUUCUUUGAUUAAUAUCAUCAAUUAUGGAUGCCAAAACAAUGCCAUUAAACUUUAAGGGAAAUAUGCCAAAAGUGAAAGUGGUAACGUGCAAAAAAUGGAAACAAAUUGAGAGAUUGUAACAAAAAAGAGACACAAACAACAUUGACCUACAUCCAUAUUAUGUUGAGCAAGGGUUUUAAUGUAAAGAGAUUGAGUGUGGUGGGUUUUAAUUAGAAUUAACAAAGUUUGAAGUGCCUAAAUAAGAUUGAGGUGAAUAAUUGGAGCACGAUGAGAAAAAGCCAAACACAAAAAGAAAAGAGAGUGAGAAUUAAGGAGAAGAUGCUGCAUGUUGUCUGUUUUUAGCCCAGAAUUAGAGAUUAAAGGUGGGGGGAGGGGCCUUGUUGUCUGUUCUCUCUCUCUCUCUUUCUCUCUCUCUCUCUCGGACUGAGUACGUGGGUCUCAUUUAGCAACCGGCUUUCAACUUUUUUUGAUUUUGCUUCCAUUUUGAUUUGCUUGCUUCCUCAUGAAGAACUUGAUUUGUGGGGGCGUAAAUGAAUAAUGAAAAUAAUGAAUGGCUUGGUUUUGAACUUUGAAUUAGUGUGGGGUUUUGUAUGAAUUGCUGGGUCCAAUUUGUUGUAUAACACAAGGUUUGCCUUUCCAAGUUUGAUCUCAAUUAAGUUGCUGCUUAAUUAUUUCGAAAGCAAUUGUGACCAACAGAACUUCUCGAGGAAAAAGCAAUUAUGGCAUAAUAUUUGCUUGUGUAAAGUUGGAACAAGGGCGACCUGCAAUGUCUCCAAGUACAGAAUGCAGCCGAAAAACCAAACGACAAGACUUGUGGGAAAAAAAACUCUUUCAACUCUCUCUGAUUCAUUAGUAACAACAGCAGUGAAGGUCACACAUGCGUACCAUUCAAUUAUAAAAGCAAACCAAGCCCCAAAAAACCUCUCCAAUGAAACAUACACAUAUAGCUAGACAAUAUGAUGUCGUUGACAUGUUCUUAUACGGAGGGGAAAGUCCAUACAAAAUCUCAACAUUAGUUCAGAGAAUGUUGGGGAGUGGAGACGCACCUAAAAUUCAUACGAAAAAGUGUAUAACUCUACGUUACAUAUACUCGUUUGUAUAUCACCACUUUUUAUAUAUAUCUUUUCACUUAAAGUUUUUCUUGUAUACAAGAUACUCACUUCAUUUGUUGUCUAUCAGUUACACACAAAAAACAUGACUAAAAAGGAAGUAAAAAAUGCAUGAGAUAACAAAUAUAUCUCUACUCUCUACCCAAUUCAAUGCUGUUUAAGUGUGUAAUGUGCUUUAGUUGAUUAGUUCACCAUGCUCCAUCACCCUUCGCGUUUACAUAAUGAAAUUUCCCAAAUAGAAAAAGGCACAAAAAAUAUAAGGAGAAAGAAGACUUUUUUUCUACAACUUCACUUUGCGAGAGUAAUGCGGUCGAUGCAAGUGGAUCCCACAACGCCUUCAAGACCGGCAUUAUCGCACAUGAACAACUGUUCCUAGCAAAACUCAAUGACUUACAAUGUGAAAAUCAAAUAGAGUGUGAGUGAGAUAUAUACUAUUUAUGAUAUGGAUCAAGAUUUGAAUAUAUAUGUGAAAGCCAACACACUCUUGCGGGCUGUACAUAUAGAAUGCCUGCUUAUAUUGAAGUUGCAGAAGAAUAAUGAUUAUGUUGAUAAUAAUAAUAAGCUCUGUGUGUGUGUGUGUUGUGUUGUGGGUUGCGUCUUUACAGCUCCUUUGGCUUGGCUUGACUUGAAAGCCUGGUGGACUUUAUGAGGUUGAUCACGUAAUUUCCGAAAAUGUGAGACCUACUACCAGCAAUUGAGGAAGCAAAAGUCAAAGAGUAGAAUUGAUUAAGAUCAAAGUAUCGCAAUCAGAUAUUAAAAGAACAACUUCAUGUAAACUUCUCUGGAAUAUUUUACAUACGUAGGCUGCUUCGUCAUCUCUUGUGUCUUGUUUCAAAUUGAUGCAACAUCGCCAAAGUACUACAAUACAAGCUAACUAACUUGCUUUGCUCCCAAGACAUCUAUUACAGCUCAGCUAAGGUUUCAGCCUUUCAGAACGAUACAACACAGAUAUUUUUGCCAAUUUCUUAUCACAUAGUUGGGCUCCAUUGCUGACGUCAAAUUUCCUCAUCUCUCUCUCUCUCUCUCUCUCUCUCACAUAUGCUGAUGUGUCCCAUAUACUUAUUUAUUGCAUAUGUUCUGCACAUGACACAUAUUACAAAUGUGUAAAUGCAACGCUACAUCCGAACUAACUUAACGUGUUAGUGAGUAAUUUUUUAGUGUGACACUUAUCUCGUCACGUAAUGUUAUCAAAUCACUCAUAUUAUGACACAUAUAAUUCUCAUAUAAAACUAAAACAAGCUAAUCAAUGACAACACUCAAUAAGCAAAGGCCAAUUGAUGCAUAACGCAAAUUCUCAUAUAAUUGUAUAAGUGGUAAUUCCACACGUGAGGUUGUAUUGGUGUUAGAUAUCAUGAGCCUAGAGUAUUCAAAAUUUAUUAAUAUCCAUUAAUACGACCAUUAGGUUUGCUUAAAGAAACGUAUGAUCUCAUGGUUUUCGUGUGAAUACCAACCAAAAAAAUUUAGAAGCUCCAAACGGGUCAAGACAAAUCAUCUUUGGAUUUGACUUUAAUUUGUUAAAACAGUAAUCCAAAGGCAUAAUCCGAGGUUAAUUUCCUGCGUGACCAACGCUUUUGAUCAGGACACGAAUCCAAUAUUCUGAUCGAGAGGUCCCCAUUUCAGAUGAUCAACCACGGGGGUUCAUGGACAUGUACUUGCACACACCAUUGACUUGUUCAUCAAUUUGAAUAUAAUUUCAACCCAAGUCGUUGAAUUUUUAUAAUAACCCUAAGAAUUUGAAGGAGUAAACUCAUACCUAUUCUCCACUUUGCGUUAGUCAAAGUCAUUUCAAUUUCCAACUACAAAUAUUGACGUUCGGCAAAAGAAAAACUACAAAUAUAUGCAUUGUCAUUUUCGUUCCUUUUCCCCCUACUAUAUGUUAUGUAUUUUUUUUGGGUAAUUUGACUAUACAUUUUGCAGUUGGUGAAAUGUGUUCACCAAAAUCUAGAUUUGAAAGUAUCCAAAGUCUGAGGAAAUAUCAAAGGGCUAGAAUAUAGGUAUCCUAAACAUAUUUUAACACUUAUAAAUUAAGACUCGGUUGUUACAAGUAAGAUUGGGAUAAGGAGAAAUCAAAAAUAGGAUGCAAACGGUAAAUCAGUGGCGGAGCCAGGAUUUUAUGUAUGGAGGGGCCAAUAUAUUAGGGUUUAAGGUUGAUUUCUUUCCCAGUAUUAAGCUUGUAAAUAAAUAAAUAACCAAUUAUCUUUAAUUUCCUAUUUUCUUAAAUAUACUUGUGAAAGAAAGAUUUAAUUGGUUAUUUUUUAAAUUUUUAUUAAUUAUGUUGGUAGAAUCUAGGAGUAACUUUGCUAUAUUGCUAAGAAAAGAGUCUUUAAGUUGGAGGGGAAAAUGUAAAUUCCUCUUUCUCUUUAUUGUAGGGGAACAAGCAUUAAUUUAAUAUAUAUAUAUAUAUAUAUAUAUAUUGUCUUACGUUGUACAAUGCAAAGGCAAUAUAUAUACUAUUUCAUAAUUUUGGGAGGGCCAAGGCCCUUGCAGGCCUAAGCACACCUCCGCCAUUGGAUAAAUGUAUACUCUUACAAUAAUGUUAUUUCAUGUUGCAUGAAAGUCUCUUUCGACCGCAAACGACUUGUAGUUCAAAUAAUUAUAAUAUAAAAAAAAAAUUCCUCGAGUUCAAGCCUAAUUUAUAGGAAAAAAAGAAAGAUCAUGGCGGUGAGGUGGCCACCUUUAUCAUUCCAAAUCCAAGGAAAACAAGUGGCUUUCUUUCUUUCAUGGUCUCACCAUAGCAAUGCACAAUACAACGCGGUCUUGUUGGGCAAACGACGUUUUACCACUUUUACCUCCCAAAUUCAAAGUAUGGAUGGAAUUCCACAAAAAUCCACAUAAGUCGGUCCAUCCCUCCAAUCCCCCAGUCCCAGUAUCCAUAUCCAUUUUGGUAAUCUUACACGAGCUUACAUUCUCGGGUCAAAUAAUUUGGGUAUGGACUUGAAUGGGUCACACCAGCCACCAGUGUGAACCAUGAGACUGGUGGGUCCAAUAUUGUUUCCAUUUAUCAUGUCUGCAUGCAGGCCACGUGGAAAGAUAUGGUAGGCAUCCACACAUGAUACACUGCGGAAUAACGCGUAGGUGAUUAAAAUAAUAACGGCCCACAGAGAGAGAGUAUCUAGAGAUGGCAAAUUUUCUUUUUCAAAUGAUAGUAAAAUCCCAAUUUUAAACCAUUUUCUCAUGAUAAAUUAUUAUAUAUAGUUUGAAAUUUCUAGACGAAAUCUUUUACCUAUUUUAUGAUAAAAUUCACAUAAAGGGAGGACUCCCGGGAGUGCAGAAAUAUCUUCAAAAACUGGUAAAAACGUGCCCCCUUCAAGCAAUUAUAAUUUGAUUCGAGAGUACAUACACUGGAUUUGUGACACUAAUCAAAUAAAAAUUGUAAAAUGUCAAUAUUCACACCCGAAAAUGUUCGAUGUUAUGUAUCGAGUUAUGUAUUGAAAGAUAACUCAAGUAGUCACUUAAUUUAUUUUAUUUUUACAAAAAAUAUAUUGUAUUAAAAAAUCAUGAAACAAUAUAGAGUAACAACGGCAUUGUUAAAAUCUUUUCGGAAGAAACAAUGUGGGAUAAAAUCACGGGAUAACUCAAGUUAACUCACGUAGUCACUCAAUUUAAAAUUAUGUAUAAUUUUUUAUAUUUAGAUUUUUUUUAAAAUUACAUUUUUUAAUACCUUUUUUUUUAUACGAACGAUAGUGGGGAAAAGGAAAAUCAAACAAAAAACAUCAUGUAUAAUGGUAAUAGCGCGAAAUCACUUAAGCUACAAAUUCCUUUCAUUUUUCAUUAUCUUUAUAUAUAUAAAGCUUUUACAAAUUACAGCUUAAAAGUUCAUGCCCAAAAAAAAAAAAAAGGCUUGCAAAUCGAGGACUUACCGCCUUGCGCCCCACGCAGAGUCUGGAAGCCUUUGUUGUCCCUUUCACACGCUUCAAAACGCAAGGACUAUAAAUUUUUUAUAAAAAAAAAUUAGUUAAAAAAAAACCUACAAAACAUAAAUUUUGUAAUUUUUUAUUAUAAAAAAACUUAAAAGAAACAAUUAAAUAAAAACCCUUGGAGCAGAAGAUUUAAAAAACCGGGUGCAGAGAAUAACGUCUGAGCAGGCAGCUCAUAGACUUUUCUCGUAAGCAUGACGACACGCAAACGCAGUGGGAACAAAUGGGAUCAUGUAUGUACACAAAAACAAAAUAAAAUAAAAUAAAAUAAAAUAAAAAAUAAAAAAGAAAAAGACAGAGGGAGAGAAGAGAGAGAAAGGGAAAUGAGUUUCCGCGUAGACAGAUGAGACUGAUGAGAAGCUAAACAGGAGACAAAAGCUUUUCUUUUCCCUUCUUUCUUUCUUUCUUUCUUUCCUUUUUCUCUUUGUUUUUAAUUUUCUGGAACUUCUCAUCAAAUCUGAACGAAUAAUUAUUAAACUGCUGGUUUUUUAUAUCGACACAUAAGCAGUUAAAGAAAGAGAGGAGGAAGAAAGAGAUCAUCAAAAUCUGUCCCUUUUUUUCUUCCUUAAGGAUUCACACCUGCCAUUCACACCACCCCCUUCAUAGAAUCUAAGCUUUAUCCUUCUUCUCUCUCUUUUAUUUUCUUCUUUCAUAUUAAAUCUUUUCGAAACCCAAACUUAAUCUUCACGAAAACACCCCUUUUUAAGAUUGAGGUUUUGGUCAUGGAGGGACAUCAUCGUCAUCAUCACCAACAACAACAGCAACAUCAUCAACCACUUCAGCAUCAAACUCAUCAGGUUCAUCUUCAACAACAACAACAACAACAACAGCAGCAGCAACAGCUUCAGCAGCAGCAGCUACAGCAGCCGCUUCCUAGUACUAUCAGCGUCAACGUGGACGCGAGCGAUAGGUUUCCUCAAUGGAGCAUUCAAGAGACGAAAGAGUUGCUGGUGAUCAGAGCCGAGCUCGACCAGACUUUCAUGGAGACGAAGAGAAACAAGCUUUUGUGGGAAGUGAUUGCCACCAAGAUGAAGGAAAAGGGCCACCAUCGCAGCGCCGAACAGUGCAAGUGCAAGUGGAAAAACCUCGUUACCCGUUACAAGGUACACAAAUGUUAUGUAAAGUAUAAACCCAAAUAAGUCCUAAGUUUAAUUAUUGAUGAAUUAAUCUCCCAUCUAAUCAACACACCCUUUAUACGACAUACUGAUUGCCUUUCAGGGGUUUGCUUUUGCUUUUCACCCAAAAUCUUCAAAAAAAUUUUUGCUGCCUUCAUUAUUAUCUGUCUGACAUAUAUAUGUGCGUGUCUUUAUGUUUCGCUUUUUGUUGAUGUAUUUAGGGAUGUGAGACGAUGGAGCCGGAAGCUAUGAGGCAGCAAUUCCCAUUUUACAAUGAGCUGCAAGCGAUUUUCGCAGCGAGGAUGCAGAGAAUGCUGUGGGCAGAAGAGAGCGGGGCUGCAAGCGGGUCGAAGAAGAAAGCGCUUUCUUCGGAUGAGGAGGAAGAUAAUGAGGACAGCGAGGCCGAGAAUAAGGCAAGCACGGUGAGGAAAAAGAAGAAGAAGGUGAAGAUGAGCAAUAUUGGCAUCAGCAGUACAAGUGGGAGUGGAAGCGGAAAUAAUGUGAGGGAGAUAUUGGAGGAGUUCAUGAAGCAACAGAUGCAAAUGGAGAUGCAAUGGCGGGAGGAGUUUCAAGCGAGGGAGAACGAGAGGCGGUUGAAGGAGAUGGAGUGGAGGCAGACCAUGGAAGCUCUAGAGAACGAGAGGAUAAUGAUGGAGAGGAGGUGGAGAGAGAGAGAAGAGCAAAGGAGGAUGAGAGAGGAGGCUAGGGCUGAGAAGAGGGAUGCUCUUAUCACCGCUUUGCUAAACAAGCUUAGAAGAGAAGACAUGUAGCAAGCAAUGAAUGGUGGCUUGAGAGGUUUGUUAGCUCUCAAUUAGCUAGAAACACUCUUGGUUCUUUGGAAAUGGGUUUGGCGUUCAAUGGAUGUUAUACAUUAUGUUGAUCCAUUUCCUUUCUUGUUUUGCCCACUGAGACGCUUUUAAUUAAUUUAUUGCUAGUUUAGUGAUGAAAAAAAGGGCUACAUCUCUCCAUUAAUCUCUCAUCUCAUUUCCAUUGAUUUAGAAAGAAAAAUCUCUUAAAUAACGUGUUUAGCCAGCUAAGUAGAAUAGGUUACUGUUCUAUUAAAUUUCCAUGUACAAGUCUUGAUAUGUAAACACAUGCAAGAAGAUCGAAGACGAGUAGUUGUCAAACACUGAAUACAGGCUUUGAGACACCAAGCACGCCAAGUUGAAAUUUGAUUCAGGUAAUUCAUUGACAUUUGUAUUCUAGCUAGCAAAAGUUGAUUGAAUACAUGCAUGGUAUACGGUUCUUAAGGUGGUGACAUCAUGACAUGCAUGUACAUAAGUGGCUGAAGAAGCUAAAACGCCAUAUGAAUUUUCCCAUAACAUUAAUUAGAUCUGACUUUUACUGCAUUUGAAUUUUUAAGUUGUGUUGAGAGAUAUAUAUAUAUAUAUAUAUUUUGUUUCCUUCAUCCCAGUUGUUGUCAUAUAUCUAGAAGUAGCAUAUAUGUCUGCAGGUGGGUAUUGAACUAAGCUGCUGAGGAUGAGUUACGAAGAUUUCACUAUAUAUAUAUGUAAUGGGACAUGACAUAGCCUUUUAAAGCUCCUUUUACUUUAGCGGAGAAUUGAAAAAGAGUUUGAAAUGAUAGACGGAAGUGAAAAUACUGUAUUUUAAGACCGUUUAACAUGUUAUGUAUAUAUGUAUUGAUUUGUUGAUAACCCAAAUGAUCUCUUGGGCAGUAUACUAGAUUAGAAAUUUCUCAUGUGUGGGACUAAUUUUGUACGAUCUAAAACGGAGAGAUAUCAAACACCACUUUCAAUUUUGAAAGUGUUUUAAUAAUGAUUAUUAUUAUAUUCUCUCAUGUGAUAUUGUGCGAGUUAAAUAUCGUGAUGACGUAUAUAUUGCGUAUAUACUGUGAUAUGAGAUGAAAGUUGAUUUUACUCUUAGCAAAAACUAUAUAUAUGUAGCUAGUUUUUCUUCAGGACACGUGAUUUCCAAGAUUCCAAGGACUGUGGCCGUGUUUUCAGAGUCUCAAACUUCGCUCCUCUUUUGACAUUCUAGCAUUUUUGCACGGAUUGAUCGGUUUAUUAAAAUACAUAUAUAUAUAAUCUUCAUGAUUUUGAAGCUACAAAUAUAUGCUGUUUAGAAUGCCGCAGAUAUCAGAAGGGCUUGUUUCACGUCUUACACACACACCGCAUGAAAAUCAUGCUCUAUUAUUCUUGACUAAUUAAAUUUUACAGCUAACAUAAAAAAGCCAUGAAAGACGUGUCAUAAUAAGCUGAGCUGUGGGUUCUUCUUCUUCUUCUUCUUCCAUAUCUGGUAGCUGCAGCAGCAGCAAGCGUUAGUCAGAAGACUUUUGAACGGUUUAGGGAAUAAUGCUAAAUAAAUAAAUCUUGGUCUACAAGUUUCAUAUUGAUAUUGUUGAGGUCCAGCUAUUUUUAAAGCGUACGUUACCGUGUUUUUGCCUCUGUCUCUAGCUGGCAUUUUGAAAUCAAGUUUGGGCAUUUCUCACCGACGCAUUUUGUCCCAAAAUAAUUUGGUGGUCCACACUCAAACUAUUUUCCGCCAACCAUAAUCCGCUUGCUGAUAUCUGCAGUCUAAAUAUGGAUCGGAUAAGGGCCUAAUUAAGUUUCUUCUCAAUUUCAUAGUAACAUUAAACUUGUGUGAACAACUAUUUUUUUAUUAAAAAGAAAAAAAAUCAAUGAGGUGUUAAACUUAUGUGAAAAAAACGACGUAAGAAAUGCCAUAAAUAUAAACAAAGUUUGAACUUUUAUGCAUAUACAGGGGCGGAGUUGGGUGCAGACUUGAAGUUGCCAUGGCUUCCCAUAUGUACCAAUCUAGCUCCGUCAUGGCACAUAUACAACUUCUUAAGUUACACAUUUAUAUUUUUAUAAAUAUCUUAUUUGUACGUGUGAACGAUGAAUUGAAAUGAGCGGAUUAUAAGAAUUUUCUUAGUUUACCAAUUAGAAAAUCAAAUUUGAUCUUAUUGCGUCAACUUGCCAGAACCCAAAUGGUCUUUACGGGGGUGUUUUGCCCGUUUCAAUGCGAAGGAAUGUCUGCAAUUAUGCCUGCAACUUCCAAGUUUGACCAGCUGCUAUUCGGACUCAAUAUAAAGAAAUUCAGUUGAACAACCUCUGCUGCUGGAUUAUAAUAAUCUCUAUUUUCAAGAUCCUAAUCACAUGGUUGCUAUCAUUUUUUUUUUCCCUUCAAAAGAAAACACUAUUAUUCUAUCACCCAUUGGACUUUCUACAAAUCUUGACUAAUUUUAUAGGUGAUGCCAAUGUCAUUCGGUCUAGGGAUAAUGGGAACAGAGACUUUUGCUUGAUGGGCUCAGUUUAGUUAUAAAUAAUCACACAACCUGCCACGUGUGUAGACUGUGGCUUGGCUUCUGUCAAAUAAACUCAAAUUCGUCAAUUUCUUUGACUUUAUGAGCUGAAUAAAUUAAAGGACCAUGAGAAACUCUCAUAUUCUUAUUCAACAGAACAAUCUCAACUACUAUGUAAUUAAACAAUGUACCAUUUGUUCAUUUGCUUUGAAACUCAAUGGAAAGAUUGGUACAUGUUACUUUGAUUUAACGAGGUAGGUAUGAGAAUUGUUAAUAUGCAAUGUUCUCCACUAGAACUUGAAGGGAUAUGUAAUUCCAACUUUGAGUUUGUGAAAAUAAAACACUCCAAUCUAAAAAGGAUGGUGAUUUUAAGGUCAAAAGUAAAGACAAAAAGUGACAGCAAAGGUUUCUUGGCCUAUAACCUCUCUUCCUUGCAGAAUUCAAUGAGACAGCAAGAUUGUGUUGUGAUUUGUGCAUUUGAACUCAGUCAGAGAAGGAAAAAGAACCUACCAAUAAUAAAUAUAUAUUAUAUAUCAUCCGAGAUAGACUUAGGGGUAAGAAAUAUAAGUGGGAAAAUAUUAAAGAAUUGAAAGAUAUAUAUAGAUGUAACUUCUGAAUUGAAAGGUUGUUUUUUUUUUUUUUCCUGGGCAAUUGUAAUAUCAAUGGGAGAUUGAAAGGGUCUCUCUCUCUCUCUCUCUCUCUCUAUAUAUAUAUAUAUAUAUAUAUACACAAAAUUUUCGAACUUUGAGGAGACAAUCAAGACCUAUAAAUAGAUCAAAAGCACUUCAGUUUAUAGAAACCUUAUGGCCUAGCCAUUGUACGCUUCAAGACUCUAAUUACAAAACAAAAAUCAUAAAAAUUAAUAAAAAGAAUUAGCACCAUUCAAAAGAUUGAUUGGAUGCAGAUCAAGGAAAAUGGUAGAUUUCUAUAACUUCUGAACUUCUCCUUUCACUACUCAAACCAGAUUGAUUAGUUGGCAAUACUCAGAAUUAGCUUGUUUUAGGCAUUGCCUCACUGUCAUUGACCUCUGGGCAACUUGGAAAAAGAUGAACUUUUGCACUUCAUCUAACUGUGUCUGGUUCAUCUGUUGGCUUUGCUGCUAUUAGAUGGAAAAAUACAUUGUUGCUUGAAGGGAAUUUGUAUAAUUAAAAUCAGAACAAAAUGCAAAGCCUGAAAGAGGAAGCUGUGCCAAUAUCAGAUGAUUAUGCAGACCUCACUUUCACCCACCUCCAUGGUUGGUUAAACAGAACACCCCAAUUCCUUAUGUAUGUAUAUAAGGUGAAAACUUGCCAAAGAAGAGCCAUGCCCUUUUCUGCAUGAUGGGGAAUUGGGAAGAAGGGAUUUGCUGAGGCACAAGUACAGUUGUGUCCCUUGCUUGGAGUUCAAGAAUGGGUUUUGCCCACAGGCUGAUGCCUGUGGCCAUUCACAUGGGAUUUUGGAGGAGAGGUUUCAUCCUAUGCUGUUCAGGACCAGAUACUGUUGGUACAUGACCACAUGUAAAAGACAAGAUUGCUCUUAUGCUCACAAGGAAGAGGAAAAAAGGGCUCCUACUGUUGCUCCAUCUGUGCCUUCUCUGAGUCUCUUAGACCAAGUAAAUCAAUUUCUACUGCUGCUCUCAGCAUUGGGGUAAACAACCCAGUUACCAUUUACCCCACUCAUUCCAUGAUGCAAACUUUGUGGCAAAAAAAUAGUAGUGAUUAUAAACAGCAGCAAUCUCAGCUUCAGCAGCAGCAGCGGAGGCCUGCAAUUAGUUUCAACAGGCCAAGUCCUUCUCCACAGUCGUUUUGUGGUACAAAUGCUGGUGAAAAUGAUCAAUUUGUGACUUUUGAUGGACUUAGUGGGGAAGAAGAAAAUUUCACCACAACCAAUCUCCACAAUGAAAAUGGACUGCUUAGAACACUCAACUGUUCUUCAAUCACAGGUCAUAGCUCACAGUGGGGUUUUAGCAACCAGCCUGAUUUUUAAUGGGUUUAUGGUCUGGUUGAAGAUGAUCAACCCAACUUGUUGGAGGACCAGAAUUAAUUGGAUAUAUACAAACAUUUAACAAUAAUUGUAAAGCUUAUCUUUCAACACCAAAUAAUUGUAAAAAUUUCGAAUGUUCAUUUACUGAUCGCAUCCGAUCCCAAAUAAUCAAAUGAAGGAAGUUUACCCUUUUAGUGAAUUUCAAUUACCAAUGCCAUCUGCAUUUGGAGAAAGGUUUGUUGAAUUUCAGUGAAUGCUCUUUUUCUUGGUUAAUUUUCGUUUCCAUUAUAUUCGUGGCUCUGUUAUAGAUCUUCUUGGAAAUUGGAAACACUCUAUUCUAUGAGAUGUAAAGAUGUAACACGAAUUAACAUUGAGAUCCAUACUUGGUAUGCAUUGCAUGGUGUCAAUUUCGUCGAACACUUUGUGGAGAGAGGCUCGUCGUGUCUACAUGGAAAAAUUGUAUGUGUCAUUGGGAUUGCCAAAGUGCUUACGUGGCUCCCAGCUGGGUACAUCUUCCAUUUCACCAAGCUCUCAAUUCUCAUAAUAAAGAAAGUCUUGGUAAGAUCGUCGGACCCUGUUACCCGUAGGACCACUUUCACAAACAAGCGAAUCCCUUGCAUUAGGGUUCCAAGCUUAUCCCACCCCUAAUGCAGGUGUCGCACUUAUUUGUAAGAACGAUUGUACGUGUGAUGUGGUCCAACCUUGUUACCCGUAGGAUUGCUUUCACAACAAGCGAAUCCUUUGUAUUAGGUUUCCACCCCUAAUGCAGGUGUCACACUUAAUUGUAAGAACAAUGAUGUGGACCGACCUUACCCAACACCUUCACCUCACAAUGAGUGAUGAUUUUGAUGGGAUGCUGGCUUUUCUCGUCUCAUGAUUUAAUUGGCCACAAAUGCAUAAGUUACUCACAUCACAUGGAAGACGGCUAAGGCAUCUCUAGUAUUGUUGACUUGAUUGUUGCCCCUAUGGAGUAGGAACGCAAGUCAGUCAUUGAAAUUUCCACAAAAGAAUUAAAGUUGUUAUUUUCAACAGUGGAUUGUUCAUAAUAGUUUGAUAUGCUUACUUACUAGUGCAGAUGUUGACAUGUUAUAGAAAUUAACUCUCCACCUACCAACUUGUUUGGGAUGGUGUUCAUUGAUAGGUAUGAAAAGGGUUCAAAUUUAACAAAACUAUGUUUUAUUAUUCAAAUUCAAUCUACAAGAAUAAAUGACAGAAAACAAUUAAAAUUGGAUCGAAGUUACACUGGAUUAGAUUUUGAUGGGAAACAAAACUACAAAAACCUGCCAUUUUUUUGAAGAGGGCAGGAGAUAAAAAAUAAAAAUAAAACUUACAUGUAACGGGAAUGGGUGUAAACAAUACGCAUUUUCCAAUUGAUUUCAUUGCUGCUAGUUGCAGGCAGAGUCUCUCAAUUAUAAUCUAAAAAGUCUUGAGAUCCUUUCACACCAAAAUGGAAAAGUUCAAGUUCUUAAACUAAGUCAGGUUUUCAAAGUUACAGAGAGAGAAACUUUGAAGGGUAUAUACAGAAUCUCAAAACAAGUUCUUCUUUCAUUCUUCAAGCACUGCAGGGCCACAGAUUUUCAUGAGAAAUCUGCACAAACUCAUCAAUGCCCUGGCGCAGUAGCAUGUCAAGGAUCAGCCCUUCAAACUCCACGCAAAUUUCUUCAUAAGCUUCGAACCCAGACACAUUCUUGGCUACCCAAUUUGACUCUUUCAAAUCCUCCUCUGUCCACCUUUGGAUUUUGGAAGCCAGCAGCUCUGCGUAAUCCCUGGUGUCUUCGUCUUUAGUUGGCUCAAAAUCUUUUCUCCUGGCUGUUCUGACUUCAGGGUCGGCAAUGUAAGGAGCUUUUGGUGAAGAUUUCAUGUUGGAGUUCAAAUCCAUAGGCAUUGAAUAUCCUAUAAACAUCAACCCAAACAAAUGAAAUUAGAAUUAAUUUGGUCACACAAUGUGCUAAAGGAAAUUAGUGAAAAAAACAGAACAAACCUGAUAACCAAGCUUCAUGUUGGAUCAACAUGUCAUCAAUGUAGAGAACAGAAACAGGGCUUGUGUUCUCUAAGCCAUGAAAACCAGCAGCCUCUUUUUCCUUGGCAAAUGCAAGUUGAUGGUUUGUCUUCUUGAUUCUUGGUUCCUCCACGGCUUUCUUCUUCUGGGUUGUCUUCUUCAGCUGAUGACGAUCGCUACUUUCCUUAAAAUUCGCAGCACCACCAUUCUUGUAACUGGUCUUCUUAUCGGGAGAAACAGAGUACCCCAAACCCUUUGAUUUUGAAGAUUGUGCGCCACAUUCUCUUCUAGGCUCAUCCUUCAACUUAGAAAUCUUCUUGUUUUGUUUUACGGCUACCAUUUUCUCCUUCUUCUUCUUCUGCUUCAUAAUCUCAUCACUCUCUCUUUUGCUGUUCUCCUUGUUCCUACUUCUCUGUUCCUUCUUCCCCUGCUUCAGCUCUCCAAAACCCAUCUCAGAUUUCUUCACCUUCGACCCAAUCUCCUUUGAUUUAUCCACAUUGUCCAAGUACACAAGAAGAAAAUCAGGACUUUUCUGAUGAUUCAGAGCCGCCGGGACUUCCCGGAAAGAGACUGAGGUUCGAACCCGGCGAUGAUGAUGCUGACGAUCUUGAUCAGCCAAAUCAAAAUCCAUCAAGUAAUCAGCAAAACUCACUGACCUACUUCGGCUAACCAAAUCUGGUCUUCCUUUCGAAACCCAAUUUGUUUCUGGCAAAGAGUCUAAACCCAUCAGCCUUGCCACUAUGCCAGGCGUGACAGAAGAAGCUGAAGAUUGGAUUUUGAGAUCAGGGUUUGGUUUUUCUGGGAGCAGAGUGAGUUGGGUUGUAUAAGGUUCCGCAAUUUGAUCUGUUGGGUGAGUAGGGACGCUUCCAGAGCACAGAAGCCUGCGCAAGACGCCAUUGAAGCAGUCAGAGCUCUGGUUCACUGAACUUGAACUUCUCCCACUACCACUCAUGGUUGUAAUUUGAAAAAACCACACACCAAAUCAAGAGACAGAGCAGAGAAGUUUAUGAAAGAAGAGAGGGCUUUGUUUUGUGAUUUGAAUUAAUGGUGAUGUUGUUAUUGGCUUAUCAAGGAAGACUUGGGUCGUUGAGUUCACAUUAGAAACUAGAAAAGAUGGAAACAAAAAGGUGGAAACACUGACGCGCACAUUUGUCGCGUAUAAAAUGAAGUAAAUUUAUCUUUCUUGGCACCAAAUUGGCCUGUCAACCUGUUGUCAGCCAUGCAGUUUAUUCAUUAAAUUUAUUUAUCGGUUUAAAUACGUGCCAUUGAUAGCAACUGGCAAGCAUGAAGAAUUAAACUAGAGGAGUUGAAAGACUUUUGUUGGAAGUGUUAGAAACGCGUGGGUCGCAUCUGGGUUCUUUGAUCUUUCUUUGUUUUUGCCAUUUUUGGGGUUUCCCCCUUCUGCACUUCUUCUACUACAAGAGAUGCCGAAGUUCUUGACCUUUUGGUGGUCCUCCAUUCUAAUUUCUUAGCCACCACCACCAUGGUCUUCGUACGGAUUUAGAAAUUCUAAUCCACCGACUUUGCUGACUCUUUUGAUUUUGGAACUUAUUGGCUCAGUUGGGUUCUUUAGUUUAUGAAGGAACUUGAGGUUCCACCCCAAAAUCAAUUGGCAAUGUGAACAACACAUUUUGGGUGACGUGGAACACGUGUGGCCUUUGGGCUUUCACACAUGGGCAACCCGCUCUGAUACCAUGAAGGAAAUUGAGGUUCCACCCCAAAACCAAUUGGCAAUGGGGGGAGUAAUCCAACUCCUUAUAAGUCGUUACUAGGUUUCUCAACUUUCCAAUGUGGGACUCUUUAUCUUCACAUUCUCACAGUUUAACAUGGGCCACCUCUACCCCAA